rnacentral:tRNA from 1 species
UCCCUGGUGGCUUCGUGGUAAAGAACCUGCCUGCAGUACAGGAGACGCAGGUUCGAUCCCUGGUCCGGGAA